rnacentral:rRNA from 1 species
CUUGAAACACGGACCAAGGAGUUUAUUGUGUACGCAAGUCAUUGGGUGAUUAAAACCCAAAGGCGAAAUAAAAGUAAAGAGUUGGUCUAUAAUAAAAGAAAGGAAGAAAGCAAUUUCUUUCUAUUAUUUUUUUAUAACCACUUUAAGGGAAGAUAGAAAUUUAUCAUUAUCUAUAAUUGUAGUUUACUAUAAUUAUUAUUUUGGUAAUAUUUCUCGCACUCCCGGGGCGCUUGUUUCACGCAUUGCGUGUCAAUGCGCACCUAGAGCGUACACGCUGAUACCCGAAAGAUGGUGAACUAUGCCUGGCCAGGACGAAGCCAGGGGAAACCCUGGUGGAGGUCCGCAGCGAUUCUGACGUGCAAAUCGAUCGUCGGAGCUGGGUAUAGGGGCGAAAGACCAAUCGAACCAUCUAGUAGCUGGUUCCCUCUGAAGUUUCCCUCAGGAUA